CCUGACUAAUUGACUAUCGCCCUGUAGCACUCACAUCUGUAAUGAUGGAGUGCUUUGAAAGGCAGGUCAUGACACACAUCUACACUAGAGGCUCCCCACUGCCCUCUCCCAUCUGGACAAGAGGCUCCCCACUGCCCUCUCCCAUCUGGACUAGAGGCUCCCCACUGCCCUCUCCCAUCUGGACAAGAGGCUCCCCACUGCCCUCUCCCACCUGGACAAGAGGCUCCCCACUGCCCUCUCCAAUCUGGACAAGAGGCUCCCCACUGCCCUCUCCAAUCUGGACAAGAGGCUCCCCACUGCCCUCUCCCAUCUGGACAAGAUCCUGGACUUCCUGAUGGGCCGCCCCCAUAUGGUGAGGAAAGGCAACAACACAUCCGCCACACAGAUCCUCAACCCAGGGGCCCCUCAGUUCCCUCCUGUACUCCCUGUUCACCAACGACUGCAUGGCCCUGCGACCGGGAGACCUGUGAGGCGACGCACUAUUGGCCCAGCGUCAUCCGGCUUAAGGGUGGAUGUACUGGCCGGUGAAAGACAGCUCCACAUUGAUCUGGUACUGGUACUCCCUGUAUAUAGCUCCACAUUGAUCUGGUACUUCCUGUAUAUAGCGCCACAUUGAUCUGGUACUUCCUGUAUACAGCUCCACAUUGAUCUGGUACUUCCUGUAUAUAGCUCCACAUUGAUCUGGUACUUCCUGUAUACAGCUCCACAUUGAUCUGGUACUUCCUGUAUAUAGCUCCACAUUGAUCUGGUACUGGUACUCCCUGUAUAUAGCUCAGGUCAGGGGUCAGGGUUAGCUGUAUGACGCCUACCUCAGGUCAGGGGUCAGGGUUAGCUGUAUGAAGCCUGCCUCAGGUCAGGGGUCAGGGUUAGCUGUAUGAAGUCUACCUCAGGUCAGGGGUCAGGGUUAGCUGUAUGACGCCUACCUCAGGUCAGGGGUCAGGGUUAGCUGUAUGACGCCUACCUCAGGUCAAGGGUCAGGGGUCAGGGUUAGCUGUAUGAAGCCUACCUCAGGUCAGGGGUCAGGGUUAGCUGUAUGAAGUCUACCUCAGGUCAGGGGUCAGGGUUAGCUGUAUGACGCCUACCUCAGGUCAAGGGUCAGGGGUCAGGGUUAGCUGUAUGAAGCCUACCUCAGGUCAGGGGUCAGGGUUAGCUGUAUGAAGCCUACCUCAGGUCAGGGGUCAGGGUUAGCUGUAUGACACCUACCUCAGGUCAGGGGUCAGGGUUAGCUGUAUGAAGCCUACCUCAGGUCAGGGUUAGCUGUAUGAAGCCUACCUCAGGUCAGGGGUCAGGGUUAGCUGUAUGAAGCCUACCUCAGGUCAGGGGUCAGGGUUAGCUGUAUGAAGCCUACCUCAGGUCAGGGGUCAGGGUUAGCUGUAUGAAGCCUACCUCAGGCCAGGGGUCAGGGUUAGCUGUAUGAAACCUACCUCAGGUCAGGGGUCAGGGUUAGCUGUAUGAAGCCUACCUCAGGUCAGGGGUCAGGGUUAGCUGUAUGAAGCCUACCUCAGGCCAGGGGUCAGGGUUAGCUGUAUGAAACCUACCUCAGGUAGGUCUGUGGUUCUUGCUGUGAUGCGUGGCAUGUUGUCCAGCCAGGCCUUGCGUAGCUCGGGCGUGGAGGCGUAGGACUUGGCCAGACUGCUGCAGGUCAACUAAUAUCUCCGGGUCAUCCUCAUGCUCCUUCAUGACAUCAGAACCAUACGGAUCUGCUUUUUCAGGUCUGUCAAAACACCCGGGAACACAGUGUGCUGCAGACAGGGAGAGACGGAUAGGGUUUAAUCUUGACCAUAAACCGGGAACACCGUGUGCUGGAGAGCGAGAGGGCAGAGAGCUGCCCAGAGCUGACAAACACUGGUGCUGGAGGGGGAGAGGGAAGAGUACAAGACAGAAACAGACAGGUUAGUACGUGACAGAUCAGAGGUCAGCUGGGUCAGCAGGAACAGACAGGUUAGUACGUGACAGAUCAGAGUUCAGCUGGGUCAGGAG
ensembl:lncRNA